GCGAAUAUAAGAGGAAAGCUUUAUUAAUGAAGGUGUGGUUCUAUGACGCCUUUGUCUGGUCGUGGAACACAAACGAAGGACGCGAAGUUGCAGAUAUGGCAAACUUGUAAUCUAAACAAAAUCCAAGUCUAAAUGGUGCCCUAAGGGCUAUAUAUAUGAGGAAAUAGCGAGGGAAUUUCGUGACCCUUGGAGGAGGAGUCCGAAAACAAUCCUAAACUCGGUUUCCCCACACAUACAGACUCUAAAAAUAGCCUAUAAUAUGGUAUUUCGAAAUUACAUGGGCCUGGCCCAAAAAUAAGGUCGUGCAACAUCUAUAAUAGCCUAUGAACGAAAUUUAUAAAGUAGCGUCUUAAAUAUUUCGUCCAAGCCUUCGUGCUCUCCUUAUGGUGGCUUUAAAGUGCAAAAAUCACCAGUGAAAGCUCCUCUGUUCUUUCCCGCAUGUGCACCUUCUUCUCCAUGCUUGAUCCCACUCCAACGGAUAUCCUUCUUGUCCAUGCUAGGUCCUUCAUUUAUAAGUACAACAAAAGUAUCUAAUUUAGGCAGCAUCAUAUGUUCAUGAACAUUAGAAGGAUUUUCAACAAACGAAAGUACGUGGUAAUUCAAUUGGCGUGCGCGAGCUCUAGUAACUGGUCCAGUAUGUAUAACAGCUGGAGAUGUGGGUGUAACAAUGGUGUUGAUGUCCUCAUCACACCUUUCCUUGGUGCUUCCAUGCCAUGGCCCGGGGUACAUUGAUGUUGACCCGUGGGUUGACCUGGAAGGGGGAUAAGGAGGCAGCCGACCACCGGAUGGCGAGUGAUAGCCUUGCGAGUAGCCUCCAUGUCAAUGAUGAGAGGGGUGCCCUUGCCCCUGGGACGCCUCGGCGCCGGCUUGCCCAAUCGGUCACGAGUAACCGGGGACAGGGUGACUCCAGCCCCGCCCUUGGCUGGCAGAGAUUGCAGCCCCUCCGCCGAAGCCAUCACCCCUCUAGAGCUCACCACACACUCCUAAUUCGUCUACACUGGCCUCUCCUUUUCCUCGCCCCUAGUCGCCAUGAUUCUCGCCCCUCGAUCCCAGCCCGCUCAAGAGGAACCGGGGUAUAGAGGACUAAAAACGAGUGAACUGCGUGAAGAACUGGGGCAACCCCGAUUCCCACAAAUAUAGUACUAUGAAUCCCCAAAUCUGGCAGCCUCUAAGCCCGUGAUACAUUUAACAACAAAUGAAAGAUCAUGAUUCUGCUGUUUCCUAAACUUCCAAGCGGAAGUAACUCUUUUGUUCCCCAAGUGAAUAAAAUCAGCAGCUUCCACAGGGAAUUGUGUUGACGCGUCCGUUUCCCACUGAUUUCUCUCUCUGAUUCCUAAUCUACUUGAAAGACCCUCCAAAUUAACCAGCGACACAUACAAAUCCCCCUUAGCUAUCGUGGAGAAAACCUCCAGGACACUAUCCUCCAAAUUCGCAGAAGUUGUGGCGCUCGUAGUCCUACUCGACCAGAUCGAGCCCGCCCCAGAAGGAAUAGAGGAGAUCUCACCUUCCAAACUGCUGAAAAUUUCUUUUAACUUUUAUUCUCAUAUGUCGUCCGGUCCACGAUUCGCCUUGAUUUCGCCCUGAUUUCCUCCCAACCCCGCACGCUGAAGAUACCCCAUUCGAGGGCCACUCCAGGAGGAUAGCCCCCUCCCCUGGCGGGGCCGCCAUCUCACUCACGCUCACACUCCGUUGCCGCUGGAUCGCCUUUGCGAUCGUAUUCGAUCUAAUUUAGACAUAGCUUAGUCAUUUAAGUUCCCACACCAUAUGAGCAAAAUUGUCGUGUUUGUGAAUUGGAGGAGCUGGAUAUCCAGAUAUAUGUGGCUUAUGCGAAAUUCAUCUCCAAAAUGAACUAAAAAAAUGGGAAAUGAUGCUAAUCAUCUGGCGGAUCGGACAUUUUCCAUCCGCCUCCUCGUGCGCACGACACGUGUCCCGUGCGUUGGGCCACAACUAUGAAGUCGAUGGCGGGCGGUGCGGGUGAGAGUCUAGAUUGCAAG
rnacentral:lncRNA from 1 species